UGCCCGCGUGACACACAUCUAGGAGUUCUUGCUGGAGUCCGGUUGUCUUCCUUUGCAUUGGUGGGACAGAAGUGGGUUCUGCGUGUGGACCACACCUGGGUACCGCGUGAA
rnacentral:sRNA from 1 species